rnacentral:rRNA from 1 species
CACGUAGGGGGCGAGCGUUGUCCGGAUUUAUUGGGCCUAAAGCAUCCGUAGCCGGUUCUACAAGUCUUCCGUUAAAUCCACCUGCUUAACAGAUGGGCUGCGGAGGAUACUAUAGAGCUAGGAGGCGGGAGAGGCAAGCGGUACUUAGUGGGUAGGGGUAAAAUCCGUUGAUCCAUUGAAGACCACCAGUGCACGAAGGCGGCUUGCCAGAACGCACUCGACGGUGAGGGAUGAAAGCUGGGGGAGCAAACCGGG